AGAGUUUGAUCCUGGCUCAGGACGAACGCUGGCGGCGUGCCUAACACAUGCAAGUCGAACGGGGAGUUACUUGUAACUCCUAGUGGCGAACGGGUGAGUAACGCGUAGACAACCUACCUCUAAAAUGGGGACAACACCGCGAAAGUGGUGCUAAUACCGAAUGUGAUAUCUCGGUCGCAUGACUGAGAUAAGAAAGGUGGCCUCUAUUUAUAAGCUACCGUUUAGAGAUGGGUCUGCGUCUGAUUAGCUAGUUGGUGAGGUAAAAGCUCACCAAGGCGACGAUCAGUAGCCGGUCUGAGAGGAUGAACGGCCACACUGGGACUGAGACACGGCCCAGACUCCUACGGGAGGCAGCAGUGGGGAAUCUUCCGCAAUGGACGAAAGUCUGACGGAGCAACGCCGCGUGAGUGAAGAAGGCCUUCGGGUCGUAAAGCUCUGUCAUUUGGGACGAACGUAUUCUAUGUGAAUAAUGUAGAAUAAUGACGGUACCAAAGGAGGAAGCCACGGCUAACUACGUGCCAGCAGCCGCGGUAAUACGUAGGUGGCAAGCGUUGUCCGGAAUUAUUGGGCGUAAAGGGCGUGUAGGUGGGAUCUUAAGUCAUGUGUCUAAGUGCGGGGCUCAACCUCGUAUGGGCGCAAGAAACUGGGAUUCUUGAGUGCAGGAGAGGAAAGUGGAAUUCCCAGUGUAGCGGUGAAAUGCGUAGAUAUUGGGAGGAACACCAGUGGCGAAGGCGACUUUCUGGACUGUGUCUGACACUGAGGCGCGAAAGCUAGGGGAGCGAACGGGAUUAGAUACCCCG
rnacentral:rRNA from 1 species